UACGUAGGCAGCAAGCGUUGUUCGGAAUUACUGGGCGUAAAGCGCACGUAGGUGGCGACGUAAGUCGGGUGUGAAAGCCCCGGGCUCAACCUGGGAAUUGCAUUCGAGACUGCAUUGCUGGAGUACGGAAGAGGAAGGCGGAAUUCCCGGUGUAGCGGUGAAAUGCGUAGAUAUCGGGAGGAACAUCAGUGGCGAAGGCGGCCUUCUGGUCCAGUACUGACACUCAAGUGCGAAAGCGUGGGGAGCAAACAGG
rnacentral:rRNA from 1 species